rnacentral:rRNA from 1 species
AGUGAACGCUGGCGGUAGGCCUAACACAUGGAAGUCGAACGGCAGCACAGUAAGAGCUUGCUCUUACGGGUGGCGAGUGGCGGACGGGUGAGGAAUACAUCGGAAUCUACUUUUUCGUGGGGGAUAACGUAGGGAAACUUACGCUAAUACCGCAUACGACCUACGGGUGAAAGCAGGGGAUCUUCGGACCUUGCGCGAUUGAAUGAGCCGAUGUCGGAUUAGCUAGUUGGCGGGGUAAAGGCCCACCAAGGCGACGAUCCGUAGCUGGUCUGAGAGGAUGAUCAGCCACACUGGAACUGAGACACGGUCCAGACUCCUACGGGAGGCAGCAGUGGGGAAUAUUGGACAAUGGGCGCAAGCCUGAUCCAGCCAUACCGCGUGGGUGAAGAAGGCCUUCGGGUUGUAAAGCCCUUUUGUUGGGAAAGAAAAGCAGCAGGUUAAUACCCCGCUGUUCUGACGGUACCAAAGAAUAAGCACCGGCUAACUUCGUG